AUUGAACGCUGGCGGCAUGCUUUACACAUGCAAGUCGAACGGCAGCGCGGGCUUCGGCCUGGCGGCGAGUGGCGAACGGGUGAGUAAUGCAUCGGAACGUGCCCAGUAGUGGGGGAUAGCCCGGCGAAAGCCGGAUUAAUACCGCAUACGACCUGAGGGUGAAAGCAGGGGACCGAAAGGCCUCGCGCUAUUGGAGCGGCCGAUGUCGGAUUAGCUAGUUGGUGGGGUAAAGGCUUACCAAGGCGACGAUCCGUAGCUGGUCUGAGAGGACGACCAGCCACACUGGGACUGAGACACGGCCCAGACUCCUACGGGAGGCAGCAGUGGGGAAUUUUGGACAAUGGGGGCAACCCUGAUCCAGCCAUGCCGCGUGCGGGAAGAAGGCCUUCGGGUUGUAAACCGCUUUUGUUCGGGAAGAAAUCCUCUGGGCUAAUACCCCGGGGGGAUGACGGUACCGGAAGAAUAAGCACCGGCUAACUACGUG
rnacentral:rRNA from 1 species